rnacentral:lncRNA from 1 species
AAUCGUUUGAACCUGGGAGGCGGAGGUUGCAGUGAGCCAAGAUUGUGCCACUGCACUCUAGCCUGGGCUACAGGGCAAGACUCCAUUAAAAAAAAAAAAAAAACCAGCAAAAACCAAACAAAACAUAAUGCAUGUUCUCUCUUAUAAAUGGGAGCUAAACAUGGGGACUCAUUGACUUAAAGAUGGCAACAACUGGGAACUGCUGGAUGGGGAGGGAGGGGAGGGGUGAAAGGCCAACUGUUGGGGAGUAUGCUCAUAUCCACGUGACAAACCUGCACAUGUGCCCACUGAAUCUAAAAUAAAAGUUGAAAGUAGAUUUAAAAAACCCCAAGAGGGCUGGGUUUGGCUUGUGUGUCCAUAGCUUGUUAACCUCCGCUUUAGAUAUUAACUAAUAGAAACAUAGUGCUUAUCUUCCCAGGCCACCUAUUUUGUUCCUCUCCAAGGUGAUGGAUAGAUGAAGGCCUAAUCCAGCCGCCUGGAAGUUUGCUGACGCUUGUCCUGUCACGGAUUAAUGAAGCAUUGUUUUCUGAUGAAGGUUUCAUGCCGCUGUGCUGAUGUGUCUUCUCUUCUCUCUAGGCAGGAAACUGCAUAUCUUCUGGUUUACAUGAAGAUGGAGUGCUAAUGGAAAUGCCCAAAACCUUCAGAGAUUGACACGCUGUCAUUUUCCAUUUCCGUUCCUGGAUCUACGGAGUCUUCUAAGAGAUUUUGCAAUGAGGAGAAGCACUGUUUUCAAACUAUAUAACUGAGCCUUAUUUAUAAUUAGGGAUAUUAUCAAAAUAUGUAACCAUGAGGCCCCUCAGGUCCUGAUCAGUCAGAAUGGAGGCAUCUGGGGGCCAAAGGUCAGUGGCAGGGGGUAUUUCAGUAUUAUACAACUGCUGUGACCAGACUUGUAUACUGGCUGAAUAUCAGUGCUUUUUGUAAUUUUUCACUUUGAGAACCAACAUUAAUUCCAUAUGAAUCAAGUGUUUUGUAACUGCUAUUCAUUUAUUCAGCAAAUAUUUAUUGAUCAUCUCUUCUCCAUAAGAUAGUGUGAUAAACACAGUCAUGAAUAAAGUUAUUUUCCACAAAAGGACUUUGCAGUUUUAACGGGGGGCAGUAGGGCUUGUGCU